AGAUGUGUAGGUGCUGCAUGGUUGUCGUCAGCUCGUGCCGUGAGGUGUCGGCUAAGUGCCAUAACGAGCGCAACCUCAUCAUUAGUUACCAUCAGGUAAGGCUGGGGACUCUAAUGAGACUGCCAUCGUAAGAUGUGAGGAAGGUGGGGAUGACGUCAAAUCAGCACGGCCCUUACGUCCGGGGCGACACACGUGUUACAAUGGGUGGUACAAAGGGCAGCUACCUGGCGACAGGAUGCUAAUCUCGAAAACCGCUCUCAGUUCGGAUCGGAGUCUGCAACUCGACUCCGUGAAGCUGGAUUCGCUAGUAAUCGCGCAUCAGCCACGGCGCGGUGAAUACGUUCCCGGGCCUU
rnacentral:rRNA from 1 species